AACUUUCGGCAACGGAUCUCUUGGUUCUGGCAUCGAUGAAGAACGCAGCGCAAUGCGAUAAGUAAUGUGAAUUGCAGAAUUCAGUGAAUCAUCGAAUCUUUGAACGCACAUUGCGCCCACUAGUAUUCUGGUGGGCAUGCCUGUUCGAGCGUCAUUUCAACCCUUAAGCCCCUGUUGCUUAGCGUUAGGAGCCUACCGGAACUCUCUGGUAGCUCCCCAAAGUCAGUGGCGGAGCCGGUUCGCACUCCAGACGUAGUAGCUUUUACACGUCGCCUGUAGCGCGGGCCGGUCCCCUGCCGUAAAACACCCCAAUUUUUAUAGGUUGACCUCCGAUCAGGUAGGAAUACCCGCUGAACUUAAGCAUAUCAAUAAGCGGAGGCU
rnacentral:misc_RNA from 1 species